ACGGAAGCCCGGCGAGGCCUAGGUCGAUCCGGAAGAGAAGGGUCGAUCUCCCGACCCGGGCACCCAGCACGGUCCCCGGUACCCACGCGGAGUCAUAGCCGCGAUAUGGCAGAAGUGUUGCGGGCCUGCGUAAUUGCGAAAAGCGGACGGCGCCGACGGCCCUUUGGGUGGGGUCGCAACCGGAAGCAUCGCAAGAUCGCCGAGGCCACCCACGCAGCCCAAGAAGUGCACGCAUGGUAACCGGGUUCCGUGUUAGCGGGCGGCGGGCCGAACAUCUCGGAACGCCGCCCGCUUUACCUU
rnacentral:ncRNA from 1 species